rnacentral:rRNA from 1 species
UUGGACGGCCAAAGCGGCGUGGUUAUACCCGAUCCCAUUUCGAACUCGGAAGUCAAGCGCGCCCACGUUUUAAGUUGUACUGCACUUUGUGCGGGAACCUUAGAAAGCUGUCCGCC